rnacentral:rRNA from 1 species
CAUCCGAUUUUUCGGCCUGCUCCAUUGGAAUUCACUAGUGAUUUUCUGCAGUCUAGAAGGAGGUGUUCCAGCCAUGCCGCGUGCAGGAAGACUGCCCUAUGGGUUGUAAACUGCUUUUACAGAGGAAGAACCGCACCCACGUGUGGGUGUUUGACGGUACUCUGCGAAUAAGGAUUUUCUAACUCCGUGCCAGCAGCCGCGGUAAUACGGAGGAUCCAAGCGUUAUCCGGAAUCAUUGGGUUUAAAGGGUCCGUAGGCGGGACAAUAAGUCAGUGGUGAAAGUCUGCAGCUCAACUGUAGAACUGCCAUUGAAACUGUAGUCCUUGAGUCAUUAUGAAGUGGUUAGAAUGAGUAGUGUAGCGGUGAAAUGCAUAGAUAUUACUCAGAAUACCGAUUGCGAAGGCAGGUCACUAAUAAUGUACUGACGCUGAUGGACGAAAGCGUAGGUAGCGAACAGGAUUAGAUACCCUGGUAGUCUACGCCGUAAACGAUGGUUACUAGCUGUCCGGCCCAAUUGAGGGCUGGGUGGUUAAGCGAAAGUGAUAAAGUAACCCCCUGGGGAGUCGUUCGCAAGAAUGAAACUCAAAGGAAUUGACGGGGGCCCCACAAGCGGUGGAGCUUGUGGUUAAUUCAUGAUCCGCGAGGAACCUUACCAGGCUUAAAUGUAGUUUGCAGGGGUGGAACACUUUUCUUCGGCAAAUACAA